rnacentral:rRNA from 1 species
UACGGAGGUGGCAAGCGUUGCUCGGAAUCACUGGGCGUAAAGGGCGCGUAGGCGGGGAGGUAAGUCGGGUGUGAAAUCCCUCGGCCCAACCGAGGAACUGCGCCCGAGACUGCUUCUCUUGAGUCCCGGAGAGGAAGAUGGAAUUCCCGGUGUAGCGGUGAAAUGUGUAGAGAUCGGGAGGAACACCGGUGGCGAAGGCGGUCUCUGGACGGUGACUGACGCUGAGGCGCGAAAGCGUGGGGAGGCAAACGGG